rnacentral:lncRNA from 1 species
UAAAGUGAAAAGGAAUAUUUUCUCCGAUAACUUUCUUGUUUUCUCCUUUGGAUUCCCUUUCUUUCAUCCCUUUCUCCAUAUUAAUUUUUCAGUAAGGUUGUAUUUUAAUCUUUUCAAAAGUAACACACGGUUGUAAUGGAGAUUCCUAAUCGCAUCGCCAGUUUGCUCCGGCUCCACCAAACCAAUCGCCGAUCAUUGGACAAAAAAAAAUACCCACCAGAUCUCUGGCGUGCUCGGUAACAUAGAGUAAGAGCAAGUAAAAAAAACUGUUCCGGCGGCGGUUACAUCAACCGCUGUUGACGGUUAAGACAGAUCUCAGAAAGAAGGCGAAGAACACGACGACGUUCCACGCACCUUCAAACGCCAGAGACUAUCUGACGAAAUCGAUGAACAACAAGAGAGUAACCGCUGGUCAAAACCGUCAUCUCCAGCGACGGUGAAGCAGUCGGAGCGUCGCCGGACUGGUCACGGUUGGCGGUUUUAUGGAUUGAAUUUUCUGUUUUGUUCAGUUACUUAUGGCGGCAGUGAGCGCCGGAUUGUAAGAAAAAAAACUGUUAUUUUCGAUUUCGUUUUUGGAUAACAGGGCAUCCUAAUAUGUUCUAAAGUUCAAAAGGAAAACCUAUGUGUUGUGAUCCAAAGAAUCAAAUUAAGUCCAAUUUGAAAAUAUUUGAAAAAAACAUGUGGAGAUUUUGAUGGCGUACCCGGAUUGUGAU